rnacentral:snRNA from 1 species
GGAUAUGAGGGCUAUGACAUCUGUCACCCCAUUGAUCUCCAGGGUUGAUUCGGCUGAUCUGACUGGCUAGACGGGUAUCCCCUUCCUCCCUCACCACUCCAUGUGCAUCCCUCCCAAAGCUGUGCACUGGGUGAAGAGGAUGGCAGUGGUGUACCUGGUUAAGCACACACAUUACAGUGUGUAAGGAUGCAGGUUCAAGCUCCUAGGCCCCACCUGCAGGGGGAAGCUUCACAAAUGGUGAAGCAGUGC